rnacentral:rRNA from 2 species
UAGAGACGCUGGCGGCGUGCCUAAUACAUGCAAGUCGAACGAACUCUGGUAUUGAUUGGUGCUUGCAUCAUGAUUUACAUUUGAGUGAGUGGCGAACUGGUGAGUAACACGUGGGAAACCUGCCCAGAAGCGGGGGAUAACACCUGGAAACAGAUGCUAAUACCGCAUAACAACUUGGACCGCAUGGUCCGAGCUUGAAAGAUGGCUUCGGCUAUCACUUUUGGAUGGUCCCGCGGCGUAUUAGCUAGAUGGUGGGGUAACGGCUCACCAUGGCAAUGAUACGUAGCCGACCUGAGAGGGUAAUCGGCCACAUUGGGACUGAGACACGGCCCAAACUCCUACGGGAGGCAGCAGUAGGGAAUCUUCCACAAUGGACGAAAGUCUGAUGGAGCAACGCCGCGUGAGUGAAGAAGGGUUUCGGCUCGUAAAACUCUGUUGUUAAAGAAGAACAAUAUCUGAGAGUAACUGUUCAGGUAUUGACGGUAUUUAACCCAGAAAGCCACGGCUAACUACGUGCCAGCAGCCGCGGUAAUACGUAGGUGGCAAGCGUUGUCCGGGAUUUAUUGGGCGUAAAGCGAGCGCAGGCGGUUUUUUAAGUCUGAUGUGAAAGCCUUCGGCUCAACCGAAGAAGUGCAUCGGAAACUGGGAAACUUGAGUGCAGAAGAGGACAGUGGAACUCCAUGUGUAGCGGUGAAAUGCGUAGAUAUAUGGAAGAACACCAGUGGCGAAGGCGGCUGUCUGGUCUGUAACUGACGCUGAGGCUCGAAAGUAUGGGUAGCAAACAGGAUUAGAUACCCUGGUAGUCCAUACCGUAAACGAUGAAUGCUAAGUGUUGGAGGGUUUCCGCCCUUCAGUGCUGCAGCUAACGCAUUAAGCAUUCCGCCUGGGGAGUACGGCCGCAAGGCUGAAACUCAAAGGAAUUGACGGGGGCCCGCACAAGCGGUGGAGCAUGUGGUUUAAUUUCGAAGCUACGCGAAGAACCUUACCAGGUCUUGACAUACUAUGCAAAUCUAAGAGAUUAGACGUUCCCUUCGGGGACAUGGAUACAGGUGGUGCAUGGUUGUCGUCAGCUCGUGUCGUGAGAUGUUGGGUUAAGUCCCGCAACGAGCGCAACCCUUAUUAUCAGUUGCCAGCAUUAAGUUGGGCACUCUGGUGAGACUGCCGGUGACAAACCGGAGGAAGGUGGGGAUGACGUCAAAUCAUCAUGCCCCUUAUGACCUGGGCUACACACGUGCUACAAUGGAUGGUACAACGAGUUGCGAACUCGCGAGAGUAAGCUAAUCUCUUAAAGCCAUUCUCAGUUCGGAUUGUAGGCUGCAACUCGCCUACAUGAAGUCGGAAUCGCUAGUAAUCGCGGAUCAGCAUGCCGCGGUGAAUACGUUCCCGGGCCUUGUACACACCGCCCGUCACACCAUGAGAGUUUGUAACACCCAAAGUCGGUGGGGUAACCUUUUAGGAACCAGCCGCCUAAGGUGGGACAGAUGAUUAGGGUGAAG